GAUGAACGCUGGCGGCGUGCCUAAUACAUGCAAGUCGAACGAAACUUCUUUAUCACCGAGUGCUUGCACUCACCGAUAAAGAGUUGAGUGGCGAACGGGUGAGUAACACGUGGGCAACCUGCCCAAAAGAGGGGGAUAACACUUGGAAACAGGUGCUAAUACCGCAUAACCAUAGUUACCGCAUGGUAACUAUGUAAAAGGUGGCUAUACUACCGCUUUUGGAUGGGCCCGCGGCGCAUUAGCUAGUUGGUAGGGUAAAGGCUUACCAAGGCAAUGAUGCGUAGCCGAAUUGAGAGGUUGAUCGGCCACAUUGGGACUGAGACACGGCCCAAACUCCUACGGGAGGCAGCAGUAGGGAAUCUUCCACAAUGGGCGAAAGCCUGAUGGAGCAACGCCGCGUGGGUGAAGAAGGUCUUCGGAUCGUAAAACCCUGUUGUUAGAGAAGAAAGUGCGUGAGGGUAACUGUUCACGUUUCGACGGUAUCUAACCAGAAAGCCACUGCUAACUACGUG
rnacentral:rRNA from 1 species